UUCAGCACUGUGUGUGACUGGUGGUGACUGCAGCAGGUGUACUCCAGCAGUAAGGGAGCUCUUGCAACAAAAUACAAAUGGGACAACCAAAAAAAAAGAGAAGCGAGAAGAUCAAAAACUAGUCACAACCAAGAUUAU
rnacentral:lncRNA from 12 species